AAUGAACGCUGGCGGCAGGCCUAACACAUGCAAGUCGAACGGAUCCUUCGGGAUUAGUGGCGGACGGGUGAGUAACGCGUGGGAACAUACCCUUUGGUACGGAAUAGCCUCGGGAAACUGGGAGUAAUACCGUACGUGGUUGAGAGACGGACGAUUUAUCGCCAAAGGAUUAGCCCGCGUUGGAAGAGGUAGUUGGUGGGGUAAUGGCCUACCAAGCCGACGGUCCAUAGCUGGUUUGAGAGGCUGAUCAGCCACACUGGGACUGAGACACGGCCCAGACUCCUACGGGAGGCAGCAGUGGGGAAUCUUACACAAUGGGGGAAGCCCUGAUCUAGCCAUGCCGCGUGAACGAUGAAGGCCUUAGGGUUGUAAAGAUCUUUCAGGUGGGAAGAUAAUGACUGUACCACCAGAAGAAGCCCCGGCUAACUCCGUGCCAGCAGCCGCAGUAA
rnacentral:rRNA from 1 species